GUGCCAGCCGCUGCGGUAAUACGGAGGGUGCAAGCGUUAAUCGGAAUUACUGGGCGUAAAGCGCACGCAGGCGGUUUGUUAAGUCAGAUGUGAAAUCCCCGGGCUCAACUUGGGAACUGCAUUUGAAACUGGCAAGCUUGAGUCUCGUAGAGGGGGGUAGAAUUCCAGGUGUAGCGGUGAAAUGCGUAGAGAUCUGGAGGAAUACCGGUGGCGAAGGCGGCCCCCUGGACGAAGACUGACGCUCAGGUGCGAAAGCGUGGGGGGGCAAACAGGAUUAGAUACCCUGGUAGUCCACGCCGUAAACGAUGUCUAUUUGGAGGUUGUGCCCUUGAGGCGUGGCUUCCGGAGCUAACGCGUUAAAUAGACCGCCUGGGGAGUACGGCCGCAAGGUUAAAACUCAAAUGAAUUGACGGGGGCCCGCACAAGCGGUGGAGCAUGUGGUUUAAUUCGAUGCAACGCGAAGAACCUUACUACUCUUGACAUCCAGAGAACUUAGCAGAGA
rnacentral:rRNA from 1 species